AUGGAGCAGAGAAGAAAAAAAUGCAUUGGUUUUCUUGGUGGAAAAUGUGUGUACCGAAAGAAAAAAGGUGGCAUGGGGUUUAGAGACCUUCACGGAUUUAAUCUUUCUAUGUUAGCAAAGCAGCGUUGGCAACUACUCCAAAAUCCUGAUUCAUUGUGUGCACGAGUUUUGAGGGCAAAAUAUUAUCCCAAUAGAGAUAUUCUAAAAUCUAGCCCCAAGAAAGGUUCUUCAUUCGCUUGGCAGAGUAUGGUAGCUGGUAUUAGAACUUUCAGAAGGGGAUGCGUAUGGCAUGUGGGUUCUGGUUCACACAUUAACAUUUGGGAUGAAUCGUGGAUACCCACUAGUAUGAACAGGAAGCCUAUUACCCCUAGGGGGGUAUUAUGCUAA
rnacentral:rRNA from 1 species